AUAACAAAAGAAAGAUAUACUCAUUUUUAAUAAUAACAACAUCACUUUUAUUCAUUUUUUUUUUUAAAUACAUGUGACAAUGCAUGCAUAACAUUUAAGUCACAGAUAAAUGAUAAAUGCAGUAUGCUGAAUUGCGUCACAGUCAAGCGAAACUGCUAAUUAUUAAGCUUUGGUUUAAUAGAACAUAAACGCAUGUAAAAAUAAAAGCACUCCCGCCAAUUCUUUUCAACAAGCCUUUGAUCCUGUGAUUCAUUGAUUGCGGGUUUGGAAAAAUUACAGCAGCAUUGUCCGACAAGACAACAAGAAUCAACAGCUGAAGCAAAUUCUGGACGGUAGGCAAUCUGUAUUUCUGUACGAUUAAACAAGAUUCUAAACUAUUCUACAUAUAGUAAUGUAUCAUGUAAAAUAACAAAUAGCCUAUAUUGCGAGAUGCGCGCCUCAGAAUGCCCGAAGCUUUCUGGUAUUUACAUGCGAUUUGUUAUAAUGUUUCGUGUUAUUUCGUUAUCUGACAGAUAAAUACGUGGUGCCUACAUAUAUUUCGACUACAAAAAUUAGGCUAUAAAUAUGGUCUACAUGCAAUACAUAAUGACUAAUUUAAUAUUUAAUAGCAUGCUUUCU